GCGCCAGGAGGGUGAAGGGGUUGCAAUAAACUGGUGGCUGCGACUGUUUAAUAAAAACACAGCACUCUGCAAACACGAAAGUGGACGUAUAGGGUGUGACGCCUGCCCGGUGCCGGAAGAUUAAAUGAUGGGGUGCAAGCUCUUGAUUGAAGUCCCGGUAAACGGCGGCCGUAACUAUAACGGUCCUAAGGUAGCGAAAUUCCUUGUCGGGUAAGUUCCGACCUGCACGAAUGGCGUAACGAUGGCCACACUGUCUCCUCCCGAGACUCAGCGAAGUUGAAGUGUUUGUGAUGAUGCAAUCUACCCGCGGCUAGACGGAAAGACCCCAUGAACCUUUACUGUAGCUUUGCAUUGGACUUUGAACCGAUCUGUGUAGGAUAGGUGGGAGGCUAUGAAACCGGAACGCUAGUUUCGGUGGAGCCGUCCUUGAAAUACCACCCUGGUUUGUUUGAGGUUCUAACCUUGGCCCGUGAUCCGGGUCGGGGACAGUGCAUGGUAGGCAGUUUGACUGGGGCGGUCUCCUCCCAAAGCGUAACGGAGGAGUACGAAGGUACGCUAGGUACGGUCGGAAAUCGUGCUGAUAGUGCAAUGGCAUAAGCGUGCUUAACUGCGAGACCGACAAGUCGAGCAGGUGCGAAAGCAGGUCAUAGUGAUCCGGUGGUUCUGUAUGGAAGGGCCAUCGCUCAACGGAUAAAAGGUACUCUGGGGAUAACAGGCUGAUACCGCCCAAGAGUUCAUAUCGACGGCGGUGUUUGGCACCUCGAUGUCGGCUCAUCUCAUCCUGGGGCUGUAGCCGGUCCCAAGGGUAUGGCUGUUCGCCAUUUAAAGAGGUACGUGAGCUGGGUUUAAAACGUCGUGAGACAGUUUGGUCCCUAUCUGCCGUGGGCGUUGGAUAUUUGAAGGGGGCUGCUCCUAGUACGAGAGGACCGGAGUGGACGAACCUCUGGUGUACCGGUUGUCACGCCAGUGGCAUCGCCGGGUAGCUAUGUUCGGAAGAGAUAACCGCUGAAAGCAUCUAAGCGGGAAACUCGCCUUAAGAUGAGAUAUCCCUGGGGACUAGAUCCCCUUGAAGGGUCGUUCGAGACCAGGACGUUGAUAGGUCAGGUGUGUAAGCGCAGUAAUGCGUUCAGCUAACUGAUACUAAUUGCCCGUAAGGCUUGAUCCUAUAACA
rnacentral:rRNA from 1 species